rnacentral:rRNA from 1 species
CUUGCUUCUCUUGAGAGCGGCGGACGGGUGAGUAAUGCCUAGGAAUCUGCCUGGUAGUGGGGGAUAACGUUCGGAAACGGACGCUAAUACCGCAUACGUCCUACGGGAGAAAGCAGGGGACCUUCGGGCCUUGCGCUAUCAGAUGAGCCUAGGUCGGAUUAGCUAGUUGGUGGGGUAAUGGCUCACCAAGGCGACGAUCCGUAACUGGUCUGAGAGGAUGAUCAGUCACACUGGAACUGAGACACGGUCCAGACUCCUACGGGAGGCAGCAGUGGGGAAUAUUGGACAAUGGGCGAAAGCCUGAUCCAGCCAUGCCGCGUGUGUGAAGAAGGUCUUCGGAUUGUAAAGCACUUUAAGUUGGGAGGAAGGGUUGUAGAUUAAUACUCUGCAAUUUUGACGUUACCGACAGAAUAAGCACCGGCUAACUCUGUGCCAGCAGCCGCGGUAAUACAGAGGGUGCAAGCGUUAAUCGGAAUUACUGGGCGUAAAGCGCGCGUAGGUGGUUUGUUAAGUUGGAUGUGAAAUCCCCGGGCUCAACCUGGGAACUGCAUUCAAAACUGACUGACUAGAGUAUGGUAGAGGGUGGUGGAAUUUCCUGUGUAGCGGUGAAAUGCGUAGAUAUAGGAAGG